CACCAACAGGGGGUGCUGUUUUACGAUAUUGACGGGUUUUAAAUCAUACAUUAAAUUCAAAGAAGGCUGGAGAAGCGGAUGGUUAAAAAAAAAAACCUUGCCAACUUCCUUUGCCAUCUUCCUAGUUGGAAAAUGAGCUCGUGGUGUGUGCAGUCUGGAUUAGAGCAAAUAUGAGUUACAUUUAACCUUAUUAGUCUUUGCUUUACACAGAUUUUACACAGGCAGGAAUUCCGUCGUUUCGCCCUGCAGCCUCUUGUCGUUCUGUGAGUUCCUCCUGACCACAUGUUUUGAAUACUUGUGUUUUCCACUGGGUUAGAAACUAGUCACCGGUCUGAAUCACAGGCUACUGCUGCUAAAAACAGACAUAUAAAAGACUAUUUUCUCACUUUCAUUUUCAUUUGGGUGCUGGUUCAUAGAGAUGAAAACACAAAUAGUGUGGUUUUCUGCAUGACUCCUUUUAUUUCGAAGUUCAGCCUGUUAUUCUGUUGAAAACCUCUUGGAUCUUUGAAAAAGUUAGCCGUGGAACAUAGGAGCUUGCAGAGUUUAGUCCAAAGAUCAGUUUUUAAGGCAAUAAUCCUUCAAAAUCCUUCAUCAUCAGCACACAACCACCAAAAGGUAGGACCAAACACGAAGUAGGAUUACAUGGCUGCAUUUAUUGCUGAAAAUUUUAAGUUUGCUGCUCUUUUCUUUAAGAGUAAGGAUGUAGUGAUCUUCAAUGGGCUGAUAGCCCUGGGGACAGUGGCUAGUCAAACAGCAUACAACAUAUUUGCCUUCGAAUGCCCAUGUUCUGCUCAGAGAAAUUAUCUUUAUGGGUUAGCUGCUAUUGGCGUACCUGCCCUAACUUUCUUUUUAAUUGGAGUAAUGAUCAAUAGUAGCACCUGGGACUGAGGUUAGUCUACAAUUCUCUGGGUCUGCAUCUUAUCUGGGUUAGCUAGCUGGAUGCUGUCUCCAAU